CGUAUAAAGUUCUAGAUAGAAUUAUGAUAAUGACAUUCUCUAUCUAUAAGUCUUGACCAACAUGCGUGCCAGCAGUCGCGGCAAGACGCUAAAGACUAGUGUUAUUCAUCUUUAAUAGGUUUAAAGGGUACCUAGACGGUAAAUCAAGCCUUAACCGGGACUAAUUUAACUAGAGUUAGAUGUAAGGGUGCAUUAACGUACUAUUGAGUGUAGAGAUGAAAUUCUAUGAUACCAGAUGAUUGGCACGGGUUUAGGCGAAAGCAUCACCUUAUGUAAUAACUGACGUUGAGGGACGAAGGCUUUGUGUCGCGAACAGGAUUAGGUACCCCAGUAGUCUUAGCAGAAAAUGAUGAGUGUCAUAGGUUAAAUAUUAUUUAGUCUAUAAAUGAAAGUGUAAGCAUUCCACCUCAAGAGUAAUUUGGCAACAUUGGAAUUGAAAUCAUUAGACCGUUUCUGAAACCAGUAGUGAAGUAUGUUGUUUAAUUAGAUGAUACACAAAAAACCUUACCACAAUUUGAAUAUUUUACAAGCGUUGCACGGCUGUCUUCAGUUAAUGUCGUGAGAUUAUGGUUAGUUCCAUUAAAUUAACGUAAACC
rnacentral:rRNA from 1 species